UCCACCGUGAGGUGGAAUCUGAAGGAAGCCGAAGGCAAAGCACUGGCCUGACGAACAGAAACCGUAUACGAGGCGGCCGUCGCGGGUGAGAAGGCCCAUAUCUUCAAAGCCCGGUACUUGCACGGAAGCGGCGGACGUAAAUGCGGCGGGCAUAAGUGUGAAGGUCGCGCGUC
rnacentral:ncRNA from 1 species